rnacentral:misc_RNA from 1 species
AGUCAUCUGAAUUAUCUAAAGAAACAUGCAGAUUAUAACUAAUAGUUGCAGAAUAUUAUAAUUUCAGGAGAGUGGGAAAGAACAUGAUAUGAAUUUCAUUUGAAUUUGUUGAGACAUUAAUGGAAGAAGCAAAAAAGAUAUAUAUAUAUUUAAAAUGUAUAUCUUUUAUCAGUGUUCAAUAGUUUUGUUGACUUGAGCACUUUUAAAUUUGAUUCUAGAAUAGAAGAGUUUUUAGUUUGUACACAAUGUUGAUG